rnacentral:rRNA from 1 species
AAGUGGAUUAGUGGCGCACGGGUGAGUAACGCAUAGGUUAUGUGCCCUUUAGUCUGGGAUAGCCACUGGAAACGGUGAUUAAUACUAGAUACUCCCCACGAGGGAAAGUUUUUCGCUAAAGGAUCAGCCUAUGUCCUAUCAGCUUGUUGGUGAGGUAAUGGCUCACCAAGGCUAUGACGGGUAUCCGGCCUGAGAGGGUGAUCGGACACACUGGAACUGAGACACGGUCCAGACUCCUACGGGAGGCAGCAGUAGGGAAUAUUGCUCAAUGGGGGAAACCCUGAGGCAGCAACGCCGUGUGGAGGAUGAAGGUUUUAGGAUUGUAAACUCCUUUUGUAAGAGAAGAUU